UUUAUGGAGAGUUUGAUCCUGGCUCAGGAUGAACGCUGGCGGCGUGCCUAAUACAUGCAAGUCGAGCGAACGGACGAGAAGCUUGCUUCUCUGAUGUUAGCGGCGGACGGGUGAGUAACACGUGGAUAACCUACCUAUAAGACUGGGAUAACUUCGGGAAACCGGAGCUAAUACCGGAUAAUAUUUCGAACCGCAUGGUUCAAAAGUGAAAG
rnacentral:rRNA from 1 species